rnacentral:lncRNA from 1 species
UUCGGCACUCUCUCUCUCCCCUUCAUCUCUCAUCCUUCCUCCAUUAACAUCCAUGGUAGAACAUCCGAAGCUUCCAAAAAUUAUACAAAACACAUCAAUCCACUCCAAAAUCUUGCCUAAACACCUUCAAUCUCCUUGGAUUGAAGAAGAUCAUUGAAGAUUGCUUCCAAGGCUAGAGAGAGAAAGUUUGAUUGUUGGUGUAAAGUUUGGGUAAGUGAUGUAUAAAUUCAUAGAUAUGACUUGUAUGAGAUUGUAUGUGGGUAUUCUUGAAAGAUUGAAGCAAGAAAAUCACCCUUUUCCUUUCUCCAAAAUUUUCGAUCAAAUGGGUCUUCAACCCUUCAAAAAAAAUUCUUCUUCUUUCCUUGAUUUGGGGUGAGAAAAGUGAUCUAUGUGAUGUAUGAUGAUGAUUGAUGUGUGUUUUGAAAAGCUACGCUUUGAGAUGCGAAAAUCGGAUGAGUUUAGUUUACCCCAAUUUGGGAAUUUUUGAGUUGAUGAUUAAAAUGAUGAAUUGAUGAUGUAGAUGAGUCUAUGAUAUGUAUAUGAUGAUGAUUGAUGGAGUAAAUUGAGUAUAUGAUGUCAAUGGAUGAUUUUGAUAUGAGUUAGUUUAAUAAAAUUAUGGAUAUGUGUAUCUAUGCUCUAAUUUGUAAAUUGAUGGUUUAUAUGUGAGAUAAAUUGGUUAAGAUUGAUAGAUCUAUGAAUGGAUUAAAGAUUCAUAGGUGUUUAUAAAAUUUCAAAGAGCUUAGUUUAAUAAAAAUUAGGACUUUCGUGUCUAUGUGUCUAUUAAGUGAUUUAGCUUAAGAUAUAUGUUUUUGAGCAUGAUAGUAGUGUUUUAAUAUGUUUGAUUAAGUCUAUUGUAAGCUAAGUAAAAUUUGGACUUAGUUUAGUUUGAAUGAGUUUUUGAGUUUUCAUAUUUUGAGAAGUCAAUGAAUGAUAAAAUGAGGUCUAAUUGAUUUAUGAUCAUUAUGUGAACGUUUGUCAUGCUUUUGUUAAGAGUUUGCGUUGAUACAUGAGUUAUCAUUAGAGUUUAGUUUACAUGAUAAAAAAGGGAUUUAUAUGUGUAAAAUGAGUUAUAUGAGGUAUGAGGUCAUUAAUGAAUGAUGGAGUGAUUUUGAGCAUGAGAAUGAAAAGGGAAUUGAAUUGAUGCGUUCGUUGAGACGUUUUCCUUGAGAUUUGAGUUAAGAUGUAAAAGAGGAGAGUUAAUUUGAGUAUGAUGAGUAUUAUAAUGUGCUUGAAUGUUUUUGAGUGUUAUAUGUGUUUAAAAUGAGCUUUGAUGAGUUUUCUUUGAAGGAAUGUUGAGUUGAGCAUUUAAGAGUUUGAGAUGAGAUUUUGGUGAUUUUCGUAGGCCUACUGACCUACUGUGAUCGACGGUAUGUCGAUGUCAACAAGCUUUGAAACUUUUAUACCAAGCCCUACAUGAGUCUUGAGCCACCCUGUAAAAUUUCAAGUCAUUUGGACUUCGUUUACUAUUUUUAUAAAAAUAGCAAAACAUAAACUGCACAUUUCUACCGAGAGUUACAGAGAACAGGGGAAAGAGUCAUUAUUUUCAGUGACUUCCUGUGUAAUUUAGCUUUUUACAUUUNAAAAAAUUUACUUCUUCUUUCCUUGAUUUGGGGUGAGAAAAGUGGUCUAUGUGAUGUUUGUUGAUGAUUGAUGUGUGUUGUGAAAUAUAUGCCUUGAGAUGUGAAAGUUCGAUGGAGUUUAGUUUACCCAAAAAUGGGAACUUUUGAGUCAAUGAUUAAAAUGAUGAAUUGAUGAUGUAGAUGAGUCUAUGAGAUGUAUAUGAUGAUGAUUGAUGGAGUAAAUUGAGUAUAUGAUGUCAAUGGAUGAUUUUGAUAUGAGUAGUUUAAUAAAAUUAGGGAUAUGUGUAUCUAUGCUCUAAUUUGUAAAUUGAUGGUUUAUAUGUGAGAUAAAUUGGUUAAGAUUGAUAGAUCUAUGAAUGGAUUAAAGAUUCAAAGGUGUUUAUAAAAUUUCAAAGAGUUUAGUUUAAUAAAAAUUAGGACUUUCGUGUCUAUGUGUCUAUUAAGUGAUUUAGCUUAAAAUAUAUGUUUUUGAGCAUGAUAGUAGUGUUUUAAUAUGUUUGAUUAAAUCUAUUGUAAGCUAAGUAAAAAUUUGGACUUAGUUUAGUUUGAAUGAGUUUUUGAGUUUUCAUAUUUUGAGAAGUCAAUGAAUGAUAAAAUGAGGUCUAAUUGAUUUAUGAUCAUUAUGUGAACGUUUGUCAUGCUUUUGUUAAGAGUUUGCGUUGAUACAUGAGUUAUCAUUAGAGUUUAGUUUACAUGAUAAAAAGGGAUUUAUAUGUGUAAAAUGAGUUAUAUGAGGUAUGAGGUCAUUAAUGAAUGAUGGAGUGAUUUUGAGCAUGAGAAUGAAAAGGGAAUUGAAUUGAUGCGUUCGUUGAGACGUUUUCCUUGAGAUUUGAGUUAAGAUGUAAAAGAGGAGAGUUAAUUUGAGUAUGAUGAGUAUUAUAAUGUGCUUGAAUGUUUUUGAGUGUUAUAUGUGUUUAAAAUGAGCUUUGAUGAGUUUUCUUUGAAGGAAUGUUGAGUUGAGCAUUUAAGAGUUUGAGAUGAGAUUUUGGUGAUUUUCGUAGGCCUACUGACCUACUGUGAUCGACGGUUUUGCGAUGUCAACAAGCUUUGAAACUUUUAUACCAAGCCCCUACAUGAGUCUUGAGCACCCCUGUAAACUUUCAAGUCAUUUGGACUUCGUUUACUAUUUUUAUAAAAUGCAAAACAUAAACUGCACAUUUCUACCGAGAGUUACAGAGAACAGGGGAAAGAGUCAUUAUUUUCAGUGACUUCCUGUGUAAUGUAGCCUUUCAAAUUUUUAUGGUAUUAACCUUAUUUUGUGAUCUAGAUAUCCACCAAAUUUGAGCCCAGUUUGACAACAUUUACUAUUUUUCAAAAAUCAAAGUUUUUGAUUGCUCAAAACUGCCGAAUAUGGUAGACUGUAGUAAAACAGUCAUAUCUCCCAAACCACUUGGAGUUUUUGACUCUACUUUUUUUAUACUCCCUCCGUCCGCAAUAUCGUUUCCACAUUUGCCAUUUCGGUCCGUCCGCGAUAUCGUUUCCACUUCCAUUUAUAGAAGUAGGGUCCACAAUCUUCCACUCACAACAAUUGUGGGACCCAAACUCCACUCACUACAUUUCCACUACUAUCCACCACUUUUCUUAAAACCCGUGCCGUCCACAAUGUGGAAAUGAUAUUGCGGACAGAGGGAGUAUGAAACUAGACUCGAAGACCUUUCUUUUGGUAUGAGUCUUGAGUCCAGGAGAUGUCGGAGUCAUAACUGGUUAAUUUUUGAAGUUGAGUCAGUGUGUAAACAGAGCAUGUUUUGAUGAUGUUUGAUUGUAUUUUCUUAUGUGCCUUACGUGUUUGUGUUGCCUAUGUGUUUGAGUGAAAAUUUGACGAGUCUUAUAUGAGAGAUAAAUCGAGACUUAGAACCAUGAUUUUCUUGAAACCUAUCCUUGAGCUUAAGGAUUUGAGAUGAGUGGAGAGUCUAUAUAGAGUUGAAUAAGGAAAUAGAAUAUGAGAUAGAGCAAGAGUUAAGGCAUGAGAUUUGUUAAUGAGUUUCUAAUCGAGAUUCAUUUUAUGACAUGAACCUUCGAUGAUGACGAUGAUCCCUGAAGACACGAGCAGAGCAAGGAAGUAAGUAACUCCGCUUUGACGGGAGAUUUUGAGUAAGGUCUUCAGGUGGG